UACGGAGGGUGCGAGCGUUAAUCGGAAUUACUGGGCGUAAAGGGUGCGUAGGUGGUUAAUUAAGUUAGCUGUGAAAAUCCUGGGCUUAACCCGGGAAGGACGGCUAAGACUGAUAGACUUGAGUAUAGGAGAGGGUAGUGGAAUUUCCGGUGUAGCGGUGAAAUGCGUAGAUAUCGGAAGGAACACCAGUGGCGAAGGCGGCUACCUGGCCUAAUACUGACGCUGAGGCACGAAAGCGUGGGGAGCAAACAGG
rnacentral:rRNA from 1 species